UGCAUUGCCAUGGUAUCUGCACUCAGUAGUUUAUUCCUGCUGGGUGUUCAAAGAUCAGUGCCAUAGAAAUUCAGUAUCUGGCAUCACUGGUUUUCUUGGCUUUGUGCUUGUUAAAACUUGGUAUUUCUAUUGACUUAGUA
ensembl:snoRNA